GGAAUCUUCCACAAUGGACGCAAGUCUGAUGGAGCAACGCCGCGUGAGUGAAGAAGGGUUUCGGCUCGUAAAGCUCUGUUGUUAAAGAAGAACGUGGGUAAGAGUAACUGUUUACCCAGUGACGGCAUUUAACCCGAAAGCCACGGCUAACUACGUGCCAG
rnacentral:rRNA from 1 species